GGCGGCCAGAUAAGACAAUAAAAGCAGGCUGCAGGAGCCAGCAGCGGCAAACCGCUCGGCUUCCCGGCUGUGUUCUUUGGCUGUUUGCUGUAAAUCUUGCUACUGCUCACUCUUGGGGUCGACACUUCCUUUAUGAGCUGUAACACUCACCGUGAAUGUCUGCAGCUUCACUCUUGAAGCCAUGGAGACCACGAACCCACCGGAAGGAAGGAACAACUCCAGACGCGCCGCCUUAAGAGCUGUAACACUCACCGCGAAAGUCUGCAGCUUCACUCCUGAGCCAAGGAGACCACGAACCCACCAGAGGAAAGAAACUCUGAACACAUCCGACCAUCAGAAGGAACAAAUUCCGGAGUGCUGCCUUUAAGAACUGUAACACUCAGCGCGAGCGUCCGCAGCUUCAUUCUUCAAGGGAUGACAGCAUUGUGAUCACAAACCUUCAAAGGAUCUUCUGUCUUCAAGGCAAAAUGUUUUUAAAAAGCCAAAAAGUAGUCAUAAGAAACUGCUAACAGAAUAACGAGGAAUGUAAAAUGUCAGCCUUCACCUAUUAAUAAUUGUUACAGCAUAUUACGUCUCUGACUGAAUCUUCUACAAACAAGCAAUUAAGGUAAUCUUCAUCACAGGAGGUAGUUUGAAGAAGUCAAAGCCACAACGUAUUUCAAACAGCUGGGGAACAGCAGAAAUACUGGAGGAAAAAGCCAACAUCCUGUGAGCUGGUGUUAUUGUAGAAUUUAAAAAUAACUGUCGAGAUGGAACACAAUCAUUUAUGAGGCACCAAAUUAGAUUCUUGGGUCGCUACAGUUGUUCAGAGGACAGAACGGAGAUUUCUAGAUGUUACCUUGGCAAUGAAGUAAAGCAAUUGCUUGUGGACGUUGUUAGCUUGUGAAGGUGGUCAAGAUUCAAAUUCGCAGGUCAUCAUAGAGGGGAAAAUAAAACUUCCAAAGUGUUUCUAAUUUGUCCUAUUCUUGAAUAUAUAUUUAAAAUUAGGAGAUGUGUAUUUUCACUAAGUUCUUCAAUACGGGACUUCAAACCUGUCCUACUCUUCAAGCUCUUUUGAGUGUAAGGCUAAUGCACACAUAUCCAUACCCACUCAGGCACUAAGAAGACUACUCCUUGCCUCUGGCUUAGCCCUGAUUCUGGCUGUGCCACUUUUAUUCCCUUAUUUGGUGUUGUGUGAUGUUUCACUGGGCAGGUUUAAUGGCCUUCACAAAGUAUCCAUCUGAUCUAUCCACUCAGUGAUUUUUAUCAUUGUAAGUAAACUUUGCCCAUUCUACCUACCUCGAGAAAAGAUACAUUGACUUGAAACUAACAUGGUUUUGUGAUUUCUAGCAGGCACCAGGCCCCAUUUCACCAAUUUUUUAUUAGCCCAAGUGUAGCAGAUCCUGUCAGUGUCUGGCCCAUUUCCCCUGGCCAUACCCUCCACAAUUUU
rnacentral:lncRNA from 1 species